rnacentral:rRNA from 1 species
GACGAACCGUACGAACGUUAUUCGGAAUCACUGGGCUUAAAGGGUGCGUAGGCUGCGCGGAAAGUUGGGUGUGAAAUCCCUCGGCUCAACCGAGGAACUGCGCCCAAAACUGCCGUGCUCGAGGGAGACAGAGGUGAGCGGAACUUAGGGUGGAGCGGUGAAAUGCGUUGAGAUCGGAAGGAACGCCCGUGGCGAAAGCGAGGUCCUGGACGCCUACUGACGCUGAGACGCGAAAGCCAGGGGAGCGAACGGG